rnacentral:lncRNA from 1 species
CAUAAAGACGGAAUGUAAAGACUAUAUUAUCCAGGGGUCACGUUACAUUCUUCUCACAGUGCUACAGCAGACACACUCCAAGGCCCCACAUUUUAUAUAUUUAUUCGUUUGUGUUUAUUUAUAUAAUGAUGAAUUUUAUAAUUGAUUUUAGCAACCAAAUUCGAGCCCAUUUAAAAUCUUGUGAUAUUAUACACUCUCAAGAAAGAUUUUGGGGCUGAUCUAAGGAAGUGUGAAUAAUAAAGGGGCAGUUGGUUAGGAAACAAUAUCUAUAAUACUUCCAGCCUUUUCAUUUAGAAAAAAUCUGGUAUCUGAGUGCUCCCAGCCAGAUGCAGGUCAGUCUGAAGCAAGAAUGUGAACAGAGUGUCACCCCAAAAUCCCGUUGGUGAGAUGCCCAGGACUUGUGCUAGAAUCACUCAUUUUGCUGAAUGCUAAAAAUACAGCUUCAGUUUUAGGUGAUUGCCUUGAAGUGAUCUGAUCUCAAUUUGUUUAGGAUGCCUGAGCCCAUCAUUGAAGCUAGGAACAAUAGUAACUGCAAUGGCCGACAUUGGGGACAGGAGCAGAAAUCCCUACCUGGCCGCACUGGCCAGACCACAGUCGUCAGGUAGUGGUGGCCAAAGAGCCACCGGUUCAGUGGUUUGAGGAUUUCCUGUCGGAGGGGUGAGGCCGGCUGUGUAAGGUUGUAGGCACAGGCGGCAUUCAAGGUUGGUCAACAGCCCCUCGCCUCCAGGGAGAUGUUCCCUGGCGCCUGGUCAUCAUCAGUGACUAAGGGAGAUAAACCACUGAUUCUCAGCCCCACGAGGCCCAAUGCUCCUUUUUAUAAUAAAUAUUUUGUAAUACUCCCAUUACUAACCUAAAAUGAAAUUAAUAGCUUAUUUAAGCUACUGAUACAUAAUUUAAAAGAAAACAAAAUGCCGUAACUUGGGAAUAAAAAGGAAUGUAAAACAUAAUAAAAUAAUACAUAUUUCAAUAUGUGAAUGUUCAGACAUAAUUACAGUAGAAAACAUUAAAGCAUCAAAUGCUUGCAGCCAUGUUCUAUGUAGCAGUUACAAACAGACUGAUGGAUGUAAAUUUUAUUGAUGAUUAAAUACCACGCAUGGCCUUGUCACUGGUGAUGGUAAUUUUCCAAUACCAUGAACAACUCUUGGUAAAGUUUUUGAUGAAACAAAGGACAGAUAUUAUAUGAUUCCCCUUAUACGAAGUACCCAGAAUAGGCAAAUUCACAGAGCCAGAAAGUGGAUUAGAGGUUGUAAAGACCCAACGGGAAGGGGCCUGGGGAGCUAUUGCUUAAUAGGCACAGAGCUUCUGUCUGUGGUGACGAAAAGUUUUGGAAAUAUAUAGCAGUGAUGGUUGCACAACAUUUUGAAAGUACUUAAUGCCAUUGAAUUAUACACUUAAAAAUGGUUAACAUGGUAAAUUCUAUGUUGUGUAUUUUUACUACAAUAAUAAAAUACCCAAAAAAGUCUUGCAAAAAAAGUGUUUUGUUUAUAUACAAAACAGAGUUAGAUUCUAGUUCAGAUAAUAGUAAAUGGCCUUUCACUUACAUGAACGUCCUGCGGGACAUUUGAAAGUUAUGCAAGACAAUUCUUUGUCGUGCAGGCCUAUUCCAUCACUGGCCAAUCCCACGCAGUACCAGUAGGGCACCCCUUCGCUGUGAUGAAAAUGCCCCCGCCGUGUUCCAAUUGCCGUAGGAGGAUAGCAUCUCCCUCUCGAGAACCACUGAGAUGCCGGAAGCAGAGCCACGCAGGUUGCCUGGGUUGGGACCGGCCAGUGCCUGGAGUCCUCGUUGGGACGAGAGUGCUCGGCCCAGAAACCGCAGAAAUUCAGUUCUUUGAAGGAUCAGCAUGGAGCAUGAGGAGCAAGGGGAAGAAGGAUGUGGGAACUAUGACAUGAAAGCUGCCGCCGGUUCUGACCCCUGGCACCCCGGCUCCUGGUUUCUCACGCAGAAAUGCUCACGGCAGUCCCCUCCCAGACGGUGGAGCUAGAGAGCCUGGGACUCGGCUGGGUGGUGUGGGCUGGCGCGGGAUGGGGCAGGGCUGACUCGGCCAUCCACAGAUGAUGCGGCAGUGCUGCUGACUAUGACGGUGGCAAUAACAGCUGCUAUUUAUUGAAUAAUUAGCAAGUUCUUUACUAUAUUUUCAUGUAAUUUUAACAACUAUUUAUUACAGGUGGGAAAACAAGUUCAGGCAGCUGGGAGGUGCUCGGAAAAUCAAAAGUCAUGGAGAGAAGGCGGGAGCCCAGUCACAGAGAUUCCUAGCCGACAGAUUCGAAUCUGCUCGUUCUGAAGUCCCACUCGGCUGACCUCCACGUGCGGAUGCGGCCGAGUUCCUCCCCCCAACCCCGCGGUUUGCUGGGGCGUCAGCUGGGGAGCCAGUGCCGCCGGCCGUGCGGGGGUCCAGCCACUUCCCCGCCGGCCGAAGGACACUGCCAGCGCCCUCUUCUCCCGCUUUCCUCCGGUCGCAGGGAUCUGACUGAUGGAGGGGCGCUCAGCCCGCCACCGUGAUGCAGCGCCGCUUGGAAAGCACUGACUUCUCCCAAGAGGCUUGGAGCUCCUGGGGCUAGAAUGAGUGUGGUUGGCUGACAGCUGCUUCUGGAGCGGCCUCCCUCUCGGACUUCACGCCCGAUGGUCGCCUGCGGAGGCUUCCGGGUCCAGCGUGGGACCCCAGGCACAGAAAUGAGGAAACAUGAGGCCCGGGUCACACCCCUGGAAUCCGGCAGAACUGGGUCAGGAGUUCAGGUCCUUUCAUUGCAAGCCCCAGUGCCUUCAGCAAGGGAUUUGUGUGUCUGCUGGAGAUCAUGAUUUUGAAGGAGGCAGUUCUCAGAACGUGAUGCUCUGAUUGGCCCCCAAACCUCCAUCCUGAGCUCCAGCCUCCGCCCUCCUGAAGCCGUUGGAUUACCUGCUGCUGCUAUGAACAAGGAGGGUCUUCAGACAGCUUCUAGAAUUUCAAGCUGGAAACGCUCCCAGGGAGAAGACAUGGUCAACCCUACAUCUCUGGUGAGGCCCAACCACCCUCCUGGAACUCAGAGGCAGCCUGAGGGCUCUUCCACACUGCUUUCAGCUCUUCACCACUGUGCCGAAGACUACGAGGAACACGUGAGCGCAUGACUCAGAAGCCUCAGGGAAGAUGGAGGGCGAGGUGCUGGCAAUUUUUCCGGCAACUCUUUGCGUGAGAUGACAUGCAACAGGGAGCAGGGCUAUUCUGGCCUUGUGGGGAGAGAGAUUGGAAGACGUGACAUUUGUUCCACAGCUGGCUGGCGGCACUGGUUCUGAGCUUUUGUAGAGAGGAGGUGAACAGGCAGCAGCAGAAGAAAGGGGAGAUGUGGACACAGAGACAGAGGCGCAGAGGAAAGAUGAGAAGACGCACAGGGAGAAGACCGCCGUGUGACUGGAGUGAUGCAUCCACCAGCCAACGAAGCCCCAGGAUUGCCAGGAACACCCAAAGCGACAAGAGGCAAGGAAGAAUUCUCCCCUAGAGCUGUCAGAGGAAACACAGCCCUACGGACACCUUGAUCUCAGACUUCUGGCCUCCAGAACUGUCACAGAAUACAUUUCUGUUGUUUUAAGCCACGCAGCUUGUAGUGCUGUGUUUUGGUAGCCAAGAGAGUGCUCAGCCAGUGCUCUCUCUGAGGGGACACCAUGAGCUGGUUCUGAGAGUAUGGAAGCAACUGGAAGCUGGAACCAACCACUACUAGAAUCACCUGCCACUACUAGGAUGGAACACUCUGGUUGGCAUGACGCUGACAGAGACAAUGAGCAAAACAGAAGUGCCCUCUCUCUCUUCCAGCCUUCCUGUCACCUCUUAUUUGCUCCUUGGCCAAUGCCCAUGUAAUGGGGGGCCAGCUGUCAGGGGAGAAACAUUGUGUGCCAAGUCCUGGCUUCACAGAACUGACUCUGGCAGGUGGAGGGGGAGCUGAGAGACAAGAGCCUAGUACCCAGCAUCGGGCAUGGAAGCUUGGGUGGGGAAAAAAACCUCAUCUUUAUUUUCAUUAUCCUCUCUCUGAGAUCUAGCAUUCCCUUCCCUUAUGAAUAUGGGCCAAAAAUAAAUGGAGAAAACCACAGUAGUAUUAGCAGAACCUAUAACUCUGUCACUAAUGUUUUCAUUGCACGUUAGAGUUGCUGCAGAUAUUUCAAAUUAUCAUUUACGCUUAUCACCACUACUUAAAAAUUACGGUAGGUGUUAGACUUGCUGCUAGAUCUGGUAAUUCAAUAUGCUAAUAAAGGGGCAAACGGAUUACCAGCAUGAUUUUGUUUUUUAAUGUUUUCAUAACUUUAUUUAGUGUAUGACUUCCUUUUGUACUUGAGUUAUUAUUGUAUUUUAUGCAUUAAAAAUCUUAUUUUGGAAAGAUGACCAAAGACUUCACCAGACUGACAAAGGAGUCCAUGGCACCAAAAAAUAGCUGAAGUAUCAUUAGGAGGAAGGAAGGAUAACCAGGCAGAGCAGAGGAUUUUGGGCAGUGAAACUGUUCUGUAUGAUACUGUAAUGAUGGACACGUGACAUCAUAUAUUUGUCCAAACCUGCAGAAUGGACAACACCAAGCAUGACCCUAACGUAAACCAUGG